rfam:Bradyrhizobium erythrophlei strain GAS478 genome assembly, contig: Ga0132009_11
ACGAGCCGGAUGACGCGAGAGUGUCAAGUCCGGUUCUGUGAGGGGCUCGGGGUGAGAUUCCCCAGGCCUACUCGGC